CUGUAUUCUCUGAGUGUUUUUAAGUCUGGUCUUCUGUCUUAGUCGUUGCUGGUUCGUCUGUGUUGUUUCCCUGCGUCUCUCCGUAUGCAAUUCCCCGGACCUCCCUGCAUCUUCGUUUCUGGUUUGUUUUGUUAGUUUUACCCAGUUUAGGUUUUCCUGUUUCACCUUCACCCACACCAUCGCUGUUUGUAUUUUCCUUUGUUAAAUAAAUACUCAUCUGCACCAGAGCUUCCGCAUUUUGGGUCCUAUCUCCAAUUCCACACGUCUGCCACCGCGGAUGUGACAGUACUGUGAUAUUAUUCUGUUAUUGUAAUGGGGAAGUCUUUAGGACCCAGGGGACCCAAUGGAGGGUAUAAAAGAGGAAGUAGCAGCAGGUGCUCUUCAUUUCCACUGACGAGCGGCUGUGAACAAUGGUUGUGUGAGUAGGUGAAGAGCCUGAGAAGUUUUAAUUGUCUGCUACACAAAAAGUUGUUUUAAACCUCUACAGCAGAGGUUCGAGGUACAGGCUGUUUUUCUUUUAGUGUUUUUUUUAUUUUUUUUAUUUGUUGAAAUGUAUUUGAUGUUUAUUGUAUUUUAUGUUUUAGUAGUGAUUUUUACAAGAUAAGCCAAGAUAAGCCAGGUGUGCAGCAAACACAGUUGUCUGCUGGAGGGCAGGCUGCACAUGUGAAUUUGUCACUGUUUUUUCCUCCUUCUCCUUGUUGUUGUGUUUUUGGUUUUGGUAGGGUCACCUUUUAAAACUGUUUUUUUAUGCCGGGUUUGUUUUUAUUUCUACUGGGCUGGUGCAAUAUUAGUCGGGCAAUGUGCAAUCCCUGAGUGGGGCUCUUACCUUAGGGGAAUUAGGAUCUUUAGAGGUGCUCUGUGUGGAUUUGCAGUGAAUAAGUUUUUAUUAAGAGUGAUUUUUAGUGCCACCGAUUAUUGCCUGAACUAGCACUUAGUGCAUGCGAUAAGUGUUCUGUUGGGCUCGUAUUUAUUUGGGGUGGAUUUGUUUGUUUUAAAGCAACGAGCAUCUGGGACCGCCAAGGGAGAGCAAGCCCUCAGGUGAUAGUUGCAUUGCUGGCAGGUUGCACCAAUAACACUAUCUUGUGGUCGUUAGUGACCUUUACCAUUUUGAUGUUUUAGGCCUUUUGCAAACCCUUUGUGUUCUUUUAAAAUAAUAAAUUUUAACAUAUCUGACUGAUAUUGACCCUCUUGUCCUGUUUAUUCUGGGCUCGUUCCUGUGAGAGCUUUGGGCCUGAAAGUUUGCACAAGUAGUAUAGAGGCCCUUAGCGGUUACUCGGUGGCUUUCGC
ensembl:lncRNA